rnacentral:tRNA from 1 species
GGAGAGGUACCCAAGUUGGCUUAAGGGGACGGUUUGCUAAACCGUUAGCAGGUGUAAGCCUGGCGCGGGUUCGAAUCCCGCCCUCUCCGCCA